rnacentral:lncRNA from 1 species
GGGGAGGAGAGGAAAGGGCAGGAACAGCACAGGUCACAGAGGAAAGUAGAGUAGAAGAGAGAGGAGAGGGCCGGAACAGCACAGGUCACAGAGGAGAGGAGAAUAGAGGAGAGGAGAGGGCAGGAACAGCACAGGUCACAGGGGAGAGAAGAGGAGUGGAGGAGAGGGCAGGAACAGCACAGGUCACAGAGGAGAGUAGAGUAGAGGAGAGGGCAGGAACAGCACAGGUCACAGAGGAGAGGAGAGUAGAGGAGAGGGCAGGAACAGCACAGGUCACAGAGGAGAGGAGAGGGCAGGAACAGCACAGGUCACAGAGGAGAGUAGAGUAGAAGAGAGAGGAGAGGGCAGGAACAGCACAGGUCACAGAGGAGAGGGCAGGAACAGCACAGGUCACAGAGGAGAGUGGAGGGCAGGAACAGCACAGGUCACAGAGGAGAGUAGAGUAGAAGAGAGGGGAGAGGGCAGGAACAGCACAGGUCACAGAGGAGAGGAGAGUAGAAGAGAGAGGAGAGGGCAGGAACAGCACAGGUCACAGAGGAGAGUAGAGUAGAAGAGAGAGGAGAGGGCAGGAACAGCACAGGUCACAGAGGAGAGGAGAGGGGAGGAGAGGAGAGGGCAGGAACAGCACAGGUCACAGAGGAGAGUAGAGUAGAAGAGAGAGGAGAGGGCAGGAACAGCACAGGUCACAGAGGAGAGGAGAGGGGAGGAGAGGAGAGGGCAGGAACAGCACAGGUCACAGAGGAGAGUAGAGUAGAAGAGAGAGGAGAGGGC